GCCAAAAUCCAAUGCCAACUCCUUAACACCCCUUCUUUCUCUCAUCUUCACCAUCCCUUGCUCUCUAGAUUUAAUAUCCACCAUCCAUUACUUAAGAAGCCCUUUCUCCUCUUUAUUUUUAACACCACUUCAUGAAGACCUAAUGCCCAUCUCCCUUCUUUUCUUCACGUCUUCUUUCUUACACAUCCCAAUAAGCCAGCACCUCUUUUCUUUCUUCCUUUGAUAUCUUAACGCCCAAAUCUCAUGCCUCUUGAUCUUCAAAUAAAAUCUCAACCCUCCAUCCUUAAAAGCCCUUACAUAUUUACUUAAAAGAAAUCCUAGCCACCCAUCUCUAGUCCAUUAAUCUC
rnacentral:lncRNA from 1 species